rnacentral:rRNA from 1 species
UACAGAGGGUGCAAGCGUUAAUCGGAAUUACUGGGCGUAAAGCGCACGCAGGCGGUUGGUUAAGUCAGAUGUGAAAGCCCCGGACUCAACCUGGGAAUUGCAUUUGAAACUGGCCAACUAGAGUACGUGAGAGGGGGGUAGAAUUCCAAGUGUAGCGGUGAAAUGCGUAGAGAUUUGGAGGAAUACCAGUGGCGAAGGCGGCCCCCUGGCACGAUACUGACGCUCAGGUGCGAAAGCGUGGGGAGCAAACAGG